GAUGAAGAACGUAGUGAAAUGCGAUACGUAAUGUGAAUUGCAGAAUUCAGUGAAUCAUCGAGUCUUUGAACGCACAUUGCGCCCCCUGGCAUUCCGGGGGGCAUGCCUGUCCGAGCGUCAUUUCUGCCCUCCAGCCCGGCUGGGUGUUGGGCGCUGUCCCCCCGGGGACACGCCCCAAAGGCAGUGGCGGCGCCGCGUCGGGUCCUCGAGCGUAUGGGGCUUUGUCACCCGCUCGGGACGGACUCGUCGGCGCUGGUCUUCCUCCAGGCGACCCUUCGGGGCUCGUCUUCCUUCGGUUGACCUCGGAUCAGGUAGGGUUACCCGCUGAACUUAAGCAUAUCAAUAAGCGGAGGA
rnacentral:misc_RNA from 1 species